GCUGUGAACAGCACCAAAAAAGGGAAAAGCAGCAAAUUAGUGCUACUGGUACAGCUGUGGAUGGUUAAGAAGUAAAGCCCAUAGGGCCUCCAUGUGAGUGCUCUCAGCUGUUGGAGGAGAGGAGUGGAGCUGAUCUGUGCUGGGCACUUCUGCUGGUCCUGUCCGAGCAGCAGGAGAUGCCUAAUCACAAGCGGGUCUGAGCAUCAAAGGCAGUUUUGCCGAUGCCGACACAACAGGGAUUUCAGCCCCUCCACCAUGGGACAAGAAGAGGCCCUGAGCACCAAGGACGUGUGUUUCCCUGAUCUGCUGCCACACUUCUGCAUCUGGAGGUGUCCUCAGAGGCCAUGAUCCGGCCCUGAAGCGUGCAAGGGCUGGCUGCGGGGCCAAGGGAAAAACAAGCUUGUGUGUGACACAGCAGUGAUGUUGGUGCUGCUUCUUACAAAUGCCAGUGAUGGGCAUCUGGCAGAUGGGCCAGGAGCACCUUCUGCAGAGCACAGAUGUGAUGUUCGGGAAUCUCAGCCCGUAUGCGUAACAGUGAUACAAUGCCCAAGGAGGGGCACGCUCUGUGGGGAAUGUGAGUGUGACCCAGUUUUAAGGUCGUUUGGAGUCUGUUGACUUUGGGCUGCUCUCAGUGGCCGUGGAACCUGACUUUCGUCAGACAACAGCCGGACAGAGUCUCCUGAUGGAGGGAGGUGUUUGCAUCAAGCAAAGUGUGCUGAGAAGGCAGGGAGCUGCUGCUUCUGGGACCUCGUGACUCUCUGGGACAGAGGAGAACAAGAGCAAGAGCUAUGGCAGCUUUGAACCACGCUGGAUCAGUGAGAUAGGUUUGGGAGCUCUUCGUUUCCUAUGGUCACACUAUGCAUGCGUGGAAAAUUAAUGUCAACGACAAAACCUCUGCAAGGACAUCAGCACCCACCUGGGGAGCACCGUAGUGAGGCUGUGGAUGUCAGCAGGGCGAGCUGCAAUACCACAGCCCGCGCGUUAAACGGGAAAUGAAACAGAAAUGGAAAUGAACGCCCGCAUCUGUCCCGUUUUUAAGGUAAAGGCAGAAAUCACCUCGUGUCUCCCAGUCCGGCCACGUUCACCCAAGGAAGGUGGGGAGAAGUCAAUGUCCAGGGAAAAUGUGCAACCAUCAUCUGCAAACGAAGAGUGGGAAAUCCUACGGGAUACGGUGAUGGAGCAAAAGGGGGGGAUGGAAAACAUCUGUACGUCGGUUGAGCAUCGGGAGCCUUUGUGCCCGAGUCGUUUUGGAAGGCGGAGGGGCAUCGGGACUUCCCGUCCCUCCCUGUGCCCUUCCUGUGUUGCGCAGCGGUCACAGAGAAGGACGCACCGGGGAGCGCUGGGCACAGCCGUGUCCCCGAAAUUUGCACCUGCAAAGAGGGAGCGAGCCAGGCGAGGGGAAUGUGCGACGGGAUGGAGAAAUAUCGAAUGUUUCUGGCCGUGUGCGUUGCCAAAGGUUUGCACAUUUUGUCUGAAAACACCCAGAGUUAGAGGCGGAGGGGAGAGAGGGGGGAUUUUAAUAAAAACCAUUUGCCACUUGUCUUCAAUUAGAGUCCAGACAUCGAGCAAUAAGGAAAAAACCUUUUCUAAUAUAUAUAUAUAUUAUUAUUAUUAUUAUCUCGCUAGCAGUCGGGCUGAAGAGGUAAAGGCGGUUCGCACGCAACGAUUUCAGGGCAAGGAGUUAAAACGAGCGAGCGAAUUCAGGCGCCGUUGUCGCCGUUCGUGCCGGCUCCUCCUGCCCCGGCAGCUCCCCGCCUCGCCCCGGCACACGCCGCGGAGCUUCGCACCGCUUCCCCGCACGGGAAGGGCUCCUCCGCCCGCGGACGGACCCCCGACGGCAG
ensembl:lncRNA